ACCAUCUAGCGACCUCCACGAACGNAGGGAACUGAAACAUCUAAGUACCUGUAGGAAAGGACAUCAAUUGAGACUCCGCUAGUAGUGGCGAGCGAACGCGGAUCAGGCCAGUGGCUUAAGAGAGAAAAGUAGAACGAGUUGGAAAGCUCGACCGAAGAGGGUGAUAGUCCCGUAAACGUAAAUUGAUCUUAAGUCCUUGAGUAGGACGGGACACGUGAAAUCCUGUCUGAAUAUGGGUCGACCACGAUCCAAGCCUAAGUACUCGUGCAUGACCGAUAGUGAACCAGUACCGUGAGGGAAAGGUGAAAAGCACCCCGACGAGGGGAGUGAAAGAGAACCUGAAACCGAAUGCCUACAAACAGUCGGAGCCCAAGAUUAGUUCUGGGUGACGGCGUACCUUUUGUAUAAUGGGUCAGCGACUUAGUCUAACGAGCAAGCUUAAACCGAUAGGUGUAGGCGUAGCGAAAGCGAGUCUGAACAGGGCGUUCAGUUCGUUGGAUUAGACCCGAAACCGAGUGAUCUAGCCAUGAGCAGGCUGAAGGUAAGGUAACACUUACUGGAGGGCCGAACCCAUAUCUGUUGCAAUAGAUCGGGAUGACUUGUGGCUAGGGGUGAAAGGCCAAUCAAACUCGGAAAUAGCUGGUUCUCCGCGAAAUCUAUUUAGGUAGAGCGUUCGUUGUAUUCUCCAGGGGGUAGAGCACUGGAUGGGCUAGGGGUCCUCGCAGGACUACCAAACCUAACCAAACUACGAAUACCUGGAAGAACUGACGAGCAGACACACGGCGGGUGCUAACGUCCGUCGUGGAGAGGGUAACAACCCUGACCACCAUCUAAGGUCCCCAAGUUAUGGCUAAGUGGGAAAGGAUGUGAGGAUCCCAAAACAACCAGGAUGUUGGCUUAGAAGCAGCCAUCAUUUAAAGAAAGCGUAACAGCUCACUGGUCUAAGUAAGGGUCUUUGCGCCGAAAAUGUAACGGGGCUAAAGCCAUACACCGAAGCUGUGGAUACGUCGCAAGACGUGUGGUAGCGGAGCGUUCCGUAAGCCGGAGAAGGGAUAUCCGUAAGGGGUCCUGGAGGUAUCGGAAGUGAGAAUGCUGACAUGAGUAACGAUAAAGGGAGUGAGAGACUCCCUCGCCGAAAGUCCAAGGGUUCCUGCUUAAAGUUAAUCUGAGCAGGGUUAGUCGGCCCCUAAGGCAAGGCCGAAAGGCGUAGUCGAUGGGAACCACGUUAAUAUUCGUGGACCUGUGGGAAGUGACGGAUUGUGUAAAUUGUAAGAUCUUAAUGGAUUGAUCUUGCUUUGAAGCAGUCCCGGGAAAUAGCUCCCACGUAUAGACCGUACCCGAAACCGACACAGGUGGACCGGUAGAGAAUACCAAGGCGCUUGAGAGAACUACGUUGAAGGAACUCGGCAAAUUGCACGCGUAACUUCGGAAGAAGCGUGACCCUUUAGCGGGCAACCGUUAGGGGGUGGCACAGACCAGGGGGUAGCGACUGUUUACCAAAAACACAGGGCUCUGCGAAGUCNCAAGACGACGUAUAGGGUCUGACGCCUGCCCGGUGCUGGAAGGUUAAGAGGAGAUGUGAGAGCAUUGAAUUGAAGCCCCAGUAAACGGCGGCCGUAACAAUAACGGUCCUAAGGUAGCGAAAUUCCUUGUCGGGUAAGUUCCGACCUGCACGAAUGGCGUAAUGAUGGCCAGGCUG
rnacentral:rRNA from 1 species